rnacentral:rRNA from 1 species
GGUCAAGUUAGUAAGGGUCCACGGUGGAUGCCUUGGGGCCAGGAGCCGAAGAAGGGCGUGGCAAGACUGCGAAAAGCCCCGGUCAGCUGUCUAGCGAGCUUAGCCGGGGAUGCCCGAAUGGGGAAACCCCCCUUGGGUCAAUCCAAGGGACCCCGAUUUAUCGGGGGGGUAAGCGGGUGAACUGAAACAUCUAAGUAACCCGAGGAAAAUAAAUCAACCGAGAUUCCCAAAGUAGUGGCGAACGAAAUGGGAAUAGCCCAAACCUUCCGGGCUUAGUGGGCUGAGGCCCUAUGUCCGGAGGGGGUUGUAACACACACCUGUUCCAGCCUCAGGAGGAGCAAGGAGUAAGAAACUCGUUCCUUAGCCGAACGAUCCUGGAAAGGACGACCGGAGAAGGUGAUAGUCCUGUAAGCGAAAGGGAACGAGCUCCUGGUGUGCUGUUGAGUACCACGGGACACGUGAAAUCNUGUNNGAANCUGGGNNGACCACNNUCCAAGNCUAAAUACUACCUNNNNACCGAUAGUGAACCAGUACCGUGAGGGAAAGGUGAAAAGUACCCCAGAUGGGGAGUGAAAUAGACCUGAAACCGUGGACUUACAAGCCGUGGGAGUCCUUCCUUGGAAGGAUGACUGCGUGCCUUUUGAAGAAUGAGCCGGCGAGUUAAUCUAGGCAGCUUGGUUAAGGAGCAUGAGUUCCGGAGCCGAAGCGAAAGCGAGUCCGAAUAGGGCGUGCCGCGGGCGGCGGCAAAUCCUGCGGAGGAAGACCGAGAUGACGCAAACCUUGUGCCAGAGUGCCUUCGGGCGCUUGAAGCACGUUCAGGUGCGCUGACUUUCGGGAANAAUCCAAAGGUCGAGCCGCCACUAUGCCUGCAGUGUUGUCUGGAUUAGACCCGAAACCGGGUGAGCUACCCAUGGCCAGGCUGAAACCCCGAUAAUAUCGGGGCGAAGGGCCGAACCCGUGUCUGGUACAAAAGGCUGGGAUGAGCUGUGGGUAGAGGUGAAAUGCCAAUCGAACUCGGAGAUAGCUGGUUCUCCCCGAAAUGUAUUUAGGUACAGCCUCAAGGUAGUAUUGGGGAGGUAGGGCACUGGAUGGACUAGGGGGCGUGAGCCUACCAACUCCAACCAAACCACGAAUGCCUUUAAUAUGGUCCUUGGGAGUGAGACAGUGGGGGAUAAGCUCCAUUGUCGAGAGGGAAACAGCCCAGAUCGCAGGCUAAGGUCCCUAAGUGUGAACUAAGUGUGAAAGGAAGUGGGAUUCCNAAAACAGCUAGGAGGUUGGCUUAGAAGCAGCCACCCUUUAAAGAGUGCGUAACAGCUCACUAGUCGAGGGAUCCUGCGCCGAAAAUGUAACGGGGCUAAAGUUCACCACCGAAGCCGCGGGAUUCGCCUUUAUAGGCGGAUCGGUAGGGGAGCGUUGCCAGGGCAGUGAAGCUAAGAUGUGAGUCUUGGUGGAGCGCUGGGAAGUGAGAAUGCCGGCAUGAGUAGCGACAAUCCUGGUGAGAAUCCAGGACACCGAAAGCCUAAGGUUUCCUACGCAACGUUGAUCGGCGUAGGGUAAGUCGGGCCUAAGCCAUAGCGUACAAGCGAAGGCGAUGGACAACGGGUCAAAAUUCCCGUACCACCGUUAUAUCGUUUUAAGGCAAAGGGGGGACGCGGGAAGAUAGGCGGAGCGCGCCCAUUGGACAUGGUGCGUUUAGCCCUGAAGGCCAUGCCAGGAUAGGUAAAUCCGUUCUGGCGUUACGAGCUGAGGGGGCCGAAAACUCUAGGGCCAGAGCCCUGGGGGAUUCCGUUGAUUCUAUGCCGCCGAGAAAAGCCUCGUUGCUAGAGAUAACGGUGACCGUACCGAAAACCGACACAGGUAGGCAGGGGUAAAUGUCCCCAGGUGAACGAGCGAACCCUCGUUAAGGAACUCGACAACUUGGCCCUGUAACUUUGGGAGAAAGGGUGCCCGUGGGGUGAAGUCCGCUUGCCGGACCAGCCUUUGCGGGCCGCAGUUAAGAGGCCCAGGCGACUGUUUAUCAAAAACACAGGUCUCUGCAAAGCCGAAAGGCGACGUAUAGGGGCUGACGCCUGCCCAGUGCCGGAAGGUUAAGAGGAAAGGUUCGUCAAGCUUAGGCGAGACAAAGCUUUGAAUCGAAGCCCCGGUGAACGGCGGCCGUAACUAUAACGGUCGACCAGUGCAGCGCAAAUGCGAAGGCUUGGGAGCGAUCCCGGCUUUCAAAGCGACUGCUCUAGGCCGUUACAAAAUCUGGCUAUAUGCUGGAAACUCUGAGUAUCCUGGACUACUAGCGGAGUCAGGAAGGGCUUUGCCCUCUCUUGGCGGACGCCAUGGCAAAACCUUGGCGUCUUCUCGCCCGUAUGGGGUGGGACCGCAGUGAAAAUGUCCCAGGUGCAGACAAUCAGCAGGAAAGACCCGCGCGGUAUCCGCUCGGGAAUCCUCAGAGACCAUACGCCAGACUCGCCGAACGGAACCGGCGAGAAGAGAUGGUCCGACCUGCAUGGCGACAUGCAGAGGCCGGCAGAAAUGUCCGGCCCACCUUGGCAAGCUGCGCUUGUCGGGGGAGUAACAAAGUGCCUAAGGUAGCGAAAUCCCUUGUCGGGUAAGUUCCGACCCGCACGAAUGGCGUAACGACCUGGGCGUUGUCUCAACGAGGGGCUCGGUGAAAUUGCAAGGCCAGUGAAGAUGCUGGCUACCCGCGACAGGACAAAAAGACCCCGUGGAGCUUUACUGUAGCUUGGCAGUGGACUGCGGUUAUGAAUGUGUAGGAUAGGCGGGAGACUAAGAAACCUUGACGCCAGUCAGGGUGGAGUCGUCCUUGAAAUACCGCUCUUUUAUGAUCUCGGCCCUAAUCCGUCGCAAAACGGAGACCCUGCCAGGUGGGCAGUUUGACUGGGGCGGUCGCCUCCUAAAAGGUAACGGAGGCGCCCAAAGGUUCCCUCAAGGUGGAUGGAAAUCACCUUUAGAGUGCAUUGGCAUAAGGGAGCUUGACUGUGAGACCUACAAGUCGAGCAGAGACGAAAGUCGGGCAAAGUGAUCCUACGGUUCCGUGUGGAAGGGCCGUGGCUUAACGGAUAAAAGCUACCCCGGGGAUAACAGGCUAAUCUCGCCCAAGAGUUCACAUCGACGGCGAGGUUUGGCACCUCGAUGUCGGCUCGUCGCAUCCUGGGGCUGAAG